rnacentral:rRNA from 1 species
GAUCAUGGCUCAGGAUUAACGCUGGCGGCGUGCCUAACACAUGCAAGUCGAGCGGCAGCGAGUUUUACACUGAAUUCUGGAAGCUUCUGGUUUGAAGAGAAGAUUUAUUCAAGAAUUUUGUGUAAAAUGUCGGCGAGCGGCGGACGGCUGAGUAACGCGUGGGAACGUACCCCAAAGUGAGGGAUAACGCAUCGAAAGGUGUGCUAAUACCGCAUAUGGUCUUCGGAUUAAAGCCUUCGGGCGCUUUGGG